ensembl:lncRNA uncharacterized LOC113065671
AUGGCCAGCGUAAAGUGCCGUAGGAAUUGUAGAUUAUUGCAAAAUUUAAUGCCAAUAUGUGCUUGCCUGCAGCCUGUUGUGGUGGAAGAGAAAAAGCCGGUUGAGGUGCAGGUCGACGCGUCUAAGAGCAGCACUCUCGAGGCCGCUGCAAAACCUGAAGAUCCUCCAGCACCAAAACCAGAGGAGAAGAAACCAGAGAAGAAAUCCACUUUGGAAGCAUGUUUAAACCCAAGGCACCAGAGCCCAAGAAGGAGACUCCAGCUGCUCCUCCUGCGGCAGAAGCUGCUCCACCUGCGAAGGCCAAAGAAGAGUCACCGCAAGCGACCCCGGACAACAAAUCAGCCGAAAGCACAGAGAACGCCUCCCCAAACAUGCCCCACAAGCUGGAGAAGAGGAACUCCUUCCAGCUGUUCUUCAAAAACCUGGCUAAGUAGAAACGCAGAGAUUCUCCAGGGCUAGGGAUCCCACUCAAACCUGUGAGCAUUUGCAAUCUGUGUAGUUUAACUCUUCAGCUGUAUGUAGUUUUCCGGUUAAAUGCUGUCGAGAAACAUUUCGUAAUUCUGUCCGAUGUCUAACCAUCCGGAGUAUUUUGAUAUUGCUGGCUAUUAAUCUUAAAACAGUGAUCUGUGAGGUGAUGAAAUGAUUAAUUGCAUCCAAACAAGUGUUUUAUUAUGUAAACAAAAACUUUAUUUUGGAUGCGAUUAAUCGGCAAUAAUUACAAUACAAAAAUCAACAUUCACAGGGUGUGAACACCAUAUGGCAUCAAUUGCCAACCUAUCUAGAUUAUUAAAUUAAUUCCACAUCAGUUUAUUUGAAUUUUAAUAAAUGCUGAUUUAAAAAAAAAGUGAUAAUAUUUAAUUAAAUUGGGCGCAAAUAUAUUGCAUGUACAUUUUUUUUAUUGCAUGGAAUCUAAUAAUAUUGCAUUAAAUUUAAUUAUCUAAAUAUGUAAUUCUAAUCUUUGUUGCAAUGUAUAACUUCUCCAUAAAUAAACUAUUUUUUUUUGUCAUGUAAUAUGAAUAUAAUUGUCCCCAAUUAUUGUUAUUUCAAGUGGGAUCGUCCCUGUCAGUUUUCUCAGAAAAAAAAACAUGACAACUAAAUUAGCGCAGAUAAUAAAGCACAGAAAUUGUCCAAAGUUGCUCUGGAUUCGCUUUAGUAAAUAAAAGCCCAGUUGUCAGGUGGGUUGCAAAGGGUUUUGCUUCAGACACCAUUAUGGACGAGUGGUAAAAAACACACACUUUCUUGCUAAGUUAGGAUCUCUAAUGUUGCGUUAUGCGUUGGUGUGUCUCACAAAAACGCCAUUCUGAUGCCGGAGUGCAAACGGAGCCUGCGGCACCCGAGAAGGCCAAAUAAAACCCCACCUUUGUUUUGAUCGCUCAUCUCUGCCAAAACCAUUGCGCAUAAGAACAUAUUUGCCAUAGAUGGGAGGUAUUAUGCUGAUUUACGAGGCCCAAAUUUGAAGUAACUAUCAAAUAAUAAUCCCCAUGCAUUUAGUGAGAGCAGAAGCAAGUGUAAUGAUAUACACUGUUAAGCAAGUGCCACAUGUGUUUUCGACUGGAGGGAGGAACUUGUUUGUUUUCCUGCAGAGAACCGUGUCAGAGUUGUGUGUUGUGGCAUGAGAUGGAAAAGUGAAAGUGAAAAUGCAAUCCUGCAUUUCAGAUAAACUCCCUUUUCUGUGCAUGAUAAAAUGUCAAAUAUGUUAACUGAACUAACACUAUUGUCGUAUUGCAUUGCAAUUCACAUGCAUUAUGCAUUAAAAGCAUUGCAUUUUCACCUGGACAAAGCAAACAUCAUGCAUGUUUACAUGUGAAAAGAAAUUAUUUAUGUAAUCAUACACUAUCUGAUCUGAAAACAAUGACCUGUUGUCUGCUUAUUUCAAUCACUGAAACCUACAAAGCCAACUUGAAUUCCACUUAAAGCGCAAAACUUCUGAAUCACCAUAGAAAUCAAAAUAGUUUAUUUAACAUAAUGUCAAUCAAACUGAGCACCGUAUAUUAUAACAACUUACUUGGUCAUUUAAGUUUUCAACAAAAAAAAAACCUACACUUUGUUUUCAUUUCCACUUAGAAGAUUUAUUUAUUUAUUAAUCAUGACUUACUAACUAAACCACAUUGCAAUUAUUGUCUUGUUAUUUGCUUGGCCGUCCGGUUCUGAUCAGGGGAGACUAAAAAGAAAUUAAUCUAGUUAAAUAUUUUAUUGUAUUUCUUAUUUUUAUGAACAGUACAGUUUGAGAUAAAUUUGUGGUAUACAGUUAGGCCAUAUACAAUGUACAUUCAACUCUGCAGUCGCAUUUACUUUAUGAUUUUCUUCCUAAUUUUCUCUACAUUUGUAAAGAGUAGAAGGGCCAUAUUCAGAAUUCAGACUAUAUGCAUGAAUCUUAUACUGUCUGUAUCUUCUUUGUUGCAUAUUUCUCUAUUUAACCAAUGUAUAAAAAUAAAAUAAUAAUUUCUCUCCUCUGUAAAAUGACUCAUUCUGUAUUUAAAACUAUGAAGAAAUAUAUAUAUAAAUUGAUUUCUACAUUUUCUGAAAAAAAAGGUGUAAAACCACUAUGCAA